CCAGUCCAUGGAGAGGCCCUGCCAGCCCGUUCAUGGCUGCUGCAAAGGACAGGUAUGAGGUCAGCCAAUAUGUCUUUCAAAUUCAUGGAGGAAGCACUGGCAUGCUGGGCUGCAAGAACAAGACAAGAUGCAUUCUUGGUUCCCAAGAGCCGGGCGGCCGCAAUUCCAAACCAGCUAACGCAGAGGGCCGACUGUAUGUAGCGAAAUUCUGUCAACAAUUAAAAUCCUCUGCCAGCCGGGCACAGUGGCUGACGCCUGUAAUCCCAGCACUUUGGGGAGGCCAAGAUGGGAGGAUCAUUUGAGCCCAGGAGUUCAAGACCAGCCUGGGCAACACAGUGAGACCACAUUUCUACAAAAAAUACAAAAA
rnacentral:lncRNA from 1 species